CGAUGAAGCCCUUCGGGGUGGAUUAGUGGCGAACGGGUGAGUAACACGUGGGCAAUCUGCCCUGCACUCUGGGACAAGCCCUGGAAACGGGGUCUAAUACCGGAUACGACUUUCGGAGGCAUCUCUGAAGGUGGAAAGCUCCGGCGGUGCAGGAUGAGCCCGCGGCCUAUCAGCUUGUUGGUGGGGUGAUGGCCUACCAAGGCGACGACGGGUAGCCGGCCUGAGAGGGCGACCGGCCACACUGGGACUGAGACACGGCCCAGACUCCUACGGGAGGCAGCAGUGGGGAAUAUUGCACAAUGGGCGAAAGCCUGAUGCAGCGACGCCGCGUGAGGGAUGACGGCCUUCGGGUUGUAAACCUCUUUCAGCAGGGAAGAAGCGAAAGUGACGGUACCUGCAGAAGAAGCGCCGGCUAACUACGUGCCAGCAGCCGCGGUAAUACGUAGGGCGCAAGCGUUGUCCGGAAUUAUUGGGCGUAAAGAGCUCGUAGGCGGCUUGUCGCGUCGGAUGUGAAAGCCCGGGGCUUAACCCCGGGUCUGCAUUCGAUACGGGCAGGCUAGAGUUCGGUAGGGGAGAUCGGAAUUCCUGGUGUAGCGGUGAAAUGCGCAGAUAUCAGGAGGAACACCGGUGGCGAAGGCGGAUCUCUGGGCCGAUACUGACGCUGAGGAGCGAAAGCGUGGGGAGCGAACAGGAUUAGAUACCCUGGUAGUCCACGCCGUAAACGUUGGGAACUAGGUGUGGGCGACAUUCCACGUCGUCCGUGCCGCAGCUAACGCAUUAAGUUCCCCGCCUGGGGAGUACGGCC
rnacentral:rRNA from 1 species